UCUUUUUGUUAAUUUAAUAAGUCUAAUCUGCUCACUGAAUUUUAAAGAGCCGCAGUAUUUUGACUGUGCAAAGGUAGCAUAAUCAAUAGUUUUUUAAUUGUAAACUUGAAUGAAUGAUUUAAUGAAAAAUUAUUUUUUUUUAUUUUAGUAAAUUGAACUUAAUUUUUAAGUUAAAAAUCUUAAAUGUAUUUGAAAGACAAGAAGACCCUAUAGAUUUUUAUUAAUUUUUUUAGAAAAAAUUUUUAUUUAAAUUUAAAUUAAUUUAGUUGGGGUGACUAUGUAAUAUGUAAAAUUUAAUUUAUAUUUAAUCAAGAAUUAUUGAAGUUUUGGAUUUAAAAUUUUUAAAUUUUAGAUUAAAUUACCUUAGGGAUAACAGCGUAAUUUUAUUUUAAAGAUCAUAUUUAUAAUAAAGCUUGCGACCUCGAUGUUGAAUUAAGAUUUAUACUGAUGAAGAAGGUGGUAUUAUUAGUCUGUUCGACUAUUAAAUCU
rnacentral:rRNA from 1 species